GAGUUUGAUCAUGGCUCAGAUUGAACGCUGGCGGCAGGCCUAACACAUGCAAGUCGAGCGGCAGCACGGGUACUUGUACCUGGUGGCGAGCGGCGGACGGGUGAGUAAUGCCUAGGAAUCUGCCUGGUAGUGGGGGAUAACGCUCGGAAACGGACGCUAAUACCGCAUACGUCCUACGGGAGAAAGCAGGGGACCUUCGGGCCUUGCGCUAUCAGAUGAGCCUAGGUCGGAUUAGCUAGUUGGUGAGGUAAUGGCUCACCAAGGCGACGAUCCGUAACUGGUCUGAGAGGAUGAUCAGUCACACUGGAACUGAGACACGGUCCAGACUCCUACGGGAGGCAGCAGUGGGGAAUAUUGGACAAUGGGCGAAAGCCUGAUCCAGCCAUGCCGCGUGUGUGAAGAAGGUCUUCGGAUUGUAAAGCACUUUAAGUUGGGAGGAAGGGCAGUUACCUAAUACGUGAUUGUUUUGACGUUACCGANNNNAUAAGCACCGGCUAACUCUGUGCCAGCAGCCGC
rnacentral:rRNA from 1 species